rnacentral:rRNA from 1 species
CCGCGUGAGUGAAGAAGGCCUUCGGGUUGUAAAGCUCUUUUGUCAGGGAAGAAACGGCAGAGGCUAAUAUCCUUUGCUAAUGACGGUACCUGAAGAAUAAGCACCGGCUAACUACGUGCCAGCAGCCGCGGUAAUACGUAGGGUGCAAGCGUUAAUCGGAAUUACUGGGCGUAAAGCGUGCGCAGGCGGUUUUGUAAGUCUGACGUGAAAUCCCCGGGCUCAACCUGGGAAUUGCGUUGGAGACUGCAAGGCUAGAAUCUGGAGAGGGGGUAGAAUUCCCGUGUAGCAGUGAAAUGCGUAGAGAUGUGGAGGACACCGAUGGCGAAGG